rnacentral:rRNA from 1 species
UAAAAAAAGGUAAGCUACUAAGAGCGAAUGGUGGAUGCCUUGACUGGUAAAGGCGAUGAAGGACGUACUAGACUGCGAUAAGCUACGGGGAGCUGUCAAGAAGCUUUGAUCCGUAGAUUUCCGAAUGGGGCAACCCAAUGUAUAGAGAUAUACAUUACCUAUAUAGGAGCGAACGAGGGGAAUUGAAACAUCUUAGUACCCUCAGGAAAAGAAAUCAAUAGAGAUUGCGUCAGUAGCGGCGAGCGAAAGCGCAAGAGGGCAAACCCAGUGCUUGCACUGGGGGUUGUAGGACUGCAAUGUGCAAGAGCUGAGUUUAGCAGAACAUUCUGGAAAGUAUAGCCAUAGAGGGUGAUAGUCCCGUAUGCGAAAAACAAAGCUUAGCUAGCAGUAUCCUGAGUAGGGCGGGACACGAGGAAUCCUGUCUGAAUCCGGGUCGACCACGAUCCAACCCUAAAUACUAAUACCAGAUCGAUAGUGCACAAGUACCGUGAGGGAAAGGUGAAAAGAACUGAGGUGAUCAGAGUGAAAUAGAACCUGAAACCAUUUGCUUACAAUCAUUCAGAGCACUAUGUAGCAAUACAGUGUGAUGGACUGCCUUUUGCAUAAUGAGCCUGCGAGUUGUGGUGUCUGGCAAGGUUAAGCAAACGCGAAGCCGUAGCGAAAGCGAGUCUGAAUAGGGCGCUUAGUCAGAUGCUGCAGACCCGAAACGAAGUGAUCUAUCCAUGAGCAAGUUGAAGCUAGUGUAAGAACUAGUGGAGGACUGAACCCAUAGGCGUUGAAAAGCCCCGGGAUGACUUGUGGAUAGGGGUGAAAGGCCAAUCAAACUUCGUGAUAGCUGGUUCUCUCCGAAAUAUAUUUAGGUAUAGCGUUGUGUCGUAAUAUAAGGGGGUAGAGCACUGAAUGGGCUAGGGCAUACACCAAUGUACCAAACCCUAUCAAACUCCGAAUACCUUAUAUGUAAUCACAGCAGUCAGGCGGCGAGUGAUAAAAUCCGUCGUCAAGAGGGAAACAACCCAGACUACCAGCUAAGGUCCCUAAAUCUUACUUAAGUGGAAAACGAUGUGAAGUUACUUAAACAACCAGGAGGUUGGCUUAGAAGCAGCCAUCCUUUAAAGAAAGCGUAAUAGCUCACUGGUCUAGUGAUUUUGCGCGGAAAAUAUAACGGGGCUAAAGUAAGUACCGAAGCUGUAGACUUGCACACAACUUAGAUUAUUUAAGUUUAGAAUAUGAGAAACUAAGUUAUAUGUUUAGUUAUAUUUUUACUGAUUUUUAUAGAGUAAAGAUAGAAAUAAAACUUAGUAAAAUCAGUAAAAAUAUUCUUAGGCUAAAGUUAAGUAGUUUAAGUUGUGUGCAAGUGGUAGGAGAGCGUUCUAUUUGCGUCGAAGGUAUACCGGUAAGGAGUGCUGGAGCGAAUAGAAGUGAGCAUGCAGGCAUGAGUAGCGAUAAUUAAUGUGAGAAUCAUUAACGCCGUAAACCCAAGGUUUCCUACGCGAUGCUCGUCAUCGUAGGGUUAGUCGGGUCCUAAGUCGAGUCCGAAAGGGGUAGACGAUGGCAAAUUGGUUAAUAUUCCAAUACCAACAUUAGUGUGCGAUGGAAGGACGCUUAGGGCUAAGGGGGCUAGCGGAUGGAAGUGCUAGUCUAAGGUUGUAGGAGGUUAUACAGGCAAAUCCGUAUAACAAUACUCCGAGAACUGAAAGGCUUUUUGAAGUCUUCGGAUGGAUAGAAGAACCCCUGAUGCCGUCGAGCCAAGAAAAGUUUCUAAGUUUAGCUAAUGUUGCCCGUACCGUAAACCGACACAGGUGGGUGGGAUGAGUAUUCUAAGGCGCGUGGAAGAACUCUCUUUAAGGAACUCUGCAAAAUAGCACCGUAUCUUCGGUAUAAGGUGUGCCUCCCUUUGUAUUAGAAUUCACUUCGAAAGCAAAGAAGGUUACAACAAAGAGUCCCUCCCGACUGUUUACCAAAAACACAGCACUCUGCUAACUCGUAAGAGGAUGUAUAGGGUGUGACGCCUGCCCGGUGCUCGAAGGUUAAUUGAUGGGGUUAGCAUUAGCGAAGCUCUUGAUCGAAGCCCGAGUAAACGGCGGCCGUAACUAUAACGGUCCUAAGGUAGCGAAAUUCCUUGUCGGUUAAAUACCGACCUGCAUGAAUGGCGUAACGAGAUGGGAGCUGUCUCAAAGAGGGAUCCAGUGAAAUUGUAGUGGAGGUGAAAAUUCCUCCUACCCGCGGCAAGACGGAAAGACCCCGUGGACCUUUACUACAGCUUGACACUGCUAUUUGGAUAAGAAUGUGCAGGAUAGGUGGGAGGCUUUGAGUAUAUGACGCCAGUUGUAUAUGAGCCAUUGUUGAGAUACCACUCUUUCUUAUUUGGGUAGCUAACCAGCUUGAGUUAUCCUCAAGUGGGACAAUGUCUGGUGGGUAGUUUGACUGGGGCGGUCGCCUCCCAAAUAAUAACGGAGGCUUACAAAGGUUGGCUCAUAGCGGUUGGAAAUCGCUAGUAGAGUAUAAAGGUAUAAGCCAGCUUAACUGCAAGACAUACAAGUCAAGCAGAGACGAAAGUCGGUCUUAGUGAUCCGGUGGUUCUGUGUGGAAGGGCCAUCGCUCAAAGGAUAAAAGGUACCCCGGGGAUAACAGGCUGAUCUCCCCCAAGAGCUCACAUCGACGGGGAGGUUUGGCACCUCGAUGUCGGCUCAUCGCAUCCUGGGGCUGGAGCAGGUCCCAAGGGUAUGGCUGUUCGCCAUUUAAAGCGGUACGCGAGCUGGGUUCAGAACGUCGUGAGACAGUUCGGUCCCUAUCUGCCGUGGGCGUAAGAAGAUUGAAGAGAUUUGACCCUAGUACGAGAGGACCGGGUUGAACAAACCACUGGUGUAGCUGUUGUUCUGCCAAGAGCAUCGCAGCGUAGCUAAGUUUGGAAAGGAUAAACGCUGAAAGCAUCUAAGCGUGAAGCCAACUCUAAGAUGAAUCUUCUCUAAGCUCUCUAGAAGACUACUAGUUUGAUAGGCUGGGUGUGUAAUGGAUGAAAGUCCUUUAGCUGACCAGUACUAAUAGAGCGUUUGGCUUAUCUUUAAUAAAGCAU